rnacentral:misc_RNA from 1 species
CGGCAGUCAGAUUCCGAACGUCAGGUCGUUUUGUGAGGGCGGUGAUAAGAGUUUCAGGAAUUCCACACAGCCCAAACCCUCCAGAGAGGAUGAUGUCGCCGGUCUUGACGUCUUUUACGGCCUCGUCGACCGAGUCCCAAACCUUCGUUUUCCUGGGAGCAUCUCGGACGACGGAGUAAUAUCGUAGACGGGUAGCAAUGGCGAUCCGGCUGCUACUGUGCG